rnacentral:rRNA from 1 species
AGAGUUUGAUCCUGGCUCAGAAUGAACGCUGGCGGCGUGCUUAACACAUGCAAGUCGAGCGCGAAAGUUUCUUCGGAAAUUAGUAAAGCGGCGAACGGGUGAGUAAUACGCAAGAACUUACCCUUCAGUGGGGAAUAUGCCUGAGAAAUUGGGUUUAAUACCGCAUACGUCCUACGGGAGAAAGGCGGCUUUUAUGCUGU